GAUGAACGCUGGCGGCGUGCUUAACACAUGCAAGUCGAACGGAAAGGCCCGGCUCUUGCGGGUUUCUCGUGUGGCGAACGGGGGUGUAUCACGUGAGUAACCCCUCCUUGUCUUUCGGGGAACUUCACGAAACAGGGGCGAAUAUCGGGUAGGAUCUCUUGCUCCACGUGGGGGGUUGGAAAGUUUCGGCGGUUGGGGCUGGACUCGCGGCUUAUCCGCUGGUUUGGGGGGUAGUGGCUGACCAAGGCUUUGACGGGUAGCCGGCCUGAGAGGGUGACCGGCCACAUUAGGCCUGCGGUACGGACCAGACUCGUACGGGAGGCAGCAGUGGAGAGCAUUACGCAAUAGGCGGAAGCCUGAGGCAACGACGCCGCGUGCGGAAUACCGGCCUUCGGGUGGUAAACCGCUUUCGACUGUGCCGAGGCGUGAGUGACGGUAAUGGGUAAAGAAGCACCGGCUAACUACGUG
rnacentral:rRNA from 1 species